rnacentral:lncRNA from 1 species
AGCUUUUAAAGAGGGCAGCACGCUCCUUUUGUCAUUUGGUCUGCGACGCUUUGCCACUUCUCUUUUUGGUCAGGGCUUGGCUUUCCAUCUAUUUGUGUCUGGGUUGGCAGGGUUCCAUUUGUUUUUCUUCGCCCGACUGAUUCUACCGUGGAUGACCUGCUCUGCCUGGGCCCUCUGAUUGUCUUUGCUUGAACACCUUUCAAGCUGCUGGGCGUUCCUCUUGGUUCAGCUUGGUUCACAUUGCCGUGAGCUUCUUUUAUGCUUUAGUUGUAAGGUGUUGCCGCCUUCUUUUUUGUUGCCUCUAUUCCAUGCCUUUGAAGGACACCUUUGUUCUUUCUUUUCAUGCUCUUUCAGUCUUUUUGCUUGGUUGCAUUUUCCUCUUUCAGAUUUCUGUUGUUCCCUUCAUUUACAUGCUUUUUUCAUGCUUGACAUUUUUUCACCUGCCAGCCACCUACAAUAUUUUGUUCAUUCACCGGCACUUGCUUUUAUUACGUGCAGGAAAUCUGUGUAGCAUUUCAUUCCUUUCUGCCUCUCAGAAGGCUUCUUGAGAUUAAUUCGAUAACGUGCUUUUACUGUUUUCAUUUAUGGUUUUUCCAUGGCUGUUAUAAAAUGCACCUUCUCACUCUUGCCUGUAUUGUUAACUGUUAAUCAUAACUUACUUAACCAUCAUGAAAACUGGUUGUUGAUGUGUUAAGCUGUAGAAGAACAACAGGUCACAGAGAAGCAACGAGAUUGUAUCUCAAAUGACCAUACUGCAACAAACUAGCUACCCAAUAUUCAAAGUUUUGAAAUCAACAAGAUUGUAUCUGUUUAAGUUGAAUUUUAAACUCGUGUGAUAUACAUGCAAAUAUGUGGGAUAGCAGUUAGUAUUAUUUUCUAUUUAAACUCUCUAUAAAUACACAUACACA